ensembl:miRNA gga-mir-1560 gga-mir-1560
UCCUUAGUCACUGCGUGGGGGUGGCGGCGCGAGCAGAGAGGCGCUGCCGUGUCCAAAGCAGCAUCUCUGGACGCGCUCGUUCCUUCUGCGUGGCUCCGCUUGGA